rnacentral:RNase_P_RNA from 1 species
AGAGUUGGUCGGGUGACUACUCCGGUCUAUCAGUCCCAAAGGAAUCACUAUGGAGCUGGUUGAUCGGGGAGGAAAGUCCGAGCACCACAGAGCAAGAUGCCUCCUAACGGGAGGGGUCCCGACAUCUGAGAUGUCAGGAUACGGAAAGUGCAACAGAAAAGAUACCGUCCCGACACUUCGGGAUAAGGGUGAAAUGGUGGUGUAAGAGACCACCAGCCUUGACAGCAAUGUCAGGGGCUCUGUAAACCCCAUCCGGUGCAAGAUCAAGCAGCCCCAAUCCGCCAAAUUGGCGGACCCCGACUCUAUCGGGGGAUGUUGCUCGCAUUAUUGUCCCGAAACUUCGGGACUGAAGGGGCGGGUAGAUCGCUUGAUCCCGAUCGUGAGUUCGGGACCAGAUAAAUGGUCACCAUCCCGAAAAUUCGGGGGACAAAACUCGGCUUAUAGACCAACUCUGAUC